AUGGCAGUGCUCUCUGGCAGACUUCAUUUGCAGAAAUUAUACCUGUUAUAUAUGUGUCAUAAGUCAAGUCUGGGAAAUGAGGGCUGGCAAGUGCACCUCCAGAGAUGUCAGCGUGAUCACUGUCGUUUGAGGCGUCUGCAAGGGAUGUGUGAUGGUGUGAUGAGAAUGAAAUCAAGGUAUUACAGUUAUUCUUUGCAGGGAGGAGCAGGGAGGGAAAAAAAAGCCAUCUUGUCCGCACCUGGAGUCUCCUCAUUUACUGUUACUGUAUUGGCUGGGUAUGAGUACCUCAAGCCCUACACACCCGACUGAGAACUUCCGUUUCUGUAACCCUUUUUACUGGAAAAUAGGAAAAUCUUCCCAGUCCCUUUUCAUCCCCGAACCAGCCCUUUACCCAGCCUGGACCAGCUUGUUGUCUAGGCUUCCCUGGGAAGAUCUGUGCUUUGGCUUGAUUCUCCCUCUACUGCAGGAAGAGACUGAGCUUGCCCAGGGGCCGGCUUGGGGGGAAGCCGCCCUCACCGCUUGCCUGCGCUUCUCUGCCCAGUGUGGCAAAGGCGCCCAUGGCUAGGGCCAAAACCAGUGGUAAUCGAGACAAGGUCACCGAGGCUACCUCGUCCACCCCUGAGUCUUAUCCCAGCCUCCAGUGCUGCGAAGAAUGUGGCUUGUCUGCCGACUUUGAUCCUCCACUGUGCUUCUGUGACAUGAACAAGGGAACCCUGAAUACAAAGUGAUUAGUAGAAGGUAGUUGUAAACACUGACUGCUACGUACAACCAGCUGCAGAAAUAAGGACUCUGUCAUGAAUAUUUCCUCCUCAUCUGUUAUGAAUACGCUGUGUUUGUGUUUACAUAUAUUAAGCAAAUAU
rnacentral:lncRNA from 1 species